rnacentral:rRNA from 1 species
UACGUAGGCAGCAAGCGUUGUUCGGAAUUACUGGGCGUAAAGGGUGUGUAGGUGGUGAUGUAAGUUUGGUGUGAAAUCUCCUGGCUCAACUGGGAGGGUGCGCCGAAGACUGCAUUGCUAGAGUAUGGGAGAGGUAAGCGGAAUUCCUGGUGUAGCGGUGAAAUGCGUAGAUAUCAGGAGGAACACCUGUGGUGUAGACGGCUUACUGGACCAUCACUGACACUGAAACACGAAAGCGUGGGUAGCAAACAGG